AUCAGCAUGCCGCGGUGAAUACGUUCCCGGGCCUUGUACACACCGCCCGUCACACCAUGGGAGCCGGUAAUACCCGAAGUCAGUAGUCCAACCUCGUGAGGACGCUGCCGAAGGUAGGAUUGGCGACUGGGGUGAAGUCGUAACAAGGUACC
rnacentral:rRNA from 1 species